CCUACGGGAGGCAGCAGUGAGGAAUAUUGGUCAAUGGGCGCGAGCCUGAACCAGCCAAGUAGCGUGAAGGAUGACUGCCCUACGGGUUGUAAACUUCUUUUAUAAAGGAAUAAAACGAGGCACGUGUGCCUUUUUGCAUGUACUUUAUGAAUAAGGAUCGGCUAACUCCGUGCCAGCAGCCGCGGUAAUACGGAGGAUCCGAGCGUUAUCCGGAUUUAUUGGGUUUAAAGGGAGCGUAGAUGGGUUGUUAAGUCAGUUGUGAAAGUUUGCGGCUCAACCGUAAAAUUGCAAUUGAUACUGGCAGUCUUGAGUACAGUUGAGGUAGGCGGAAUUCGUGGUGUAGCGGUGAAAUGCUUAGAUAUCACGAAGAACCCCGAUUGCGAAGGCAGAUUACCGGUGCACAACUGACGCUCAGGCACGAAAGCGUGGGUAUCGAACAGGAUUAGAUACCCCAGUAGUC
rnacentral:rRNA from 1 species